rnacentral:lncRNA from 1 species
CAGAAAUUUUUUUUUCAAGAAACAGCAACACUGUUUUCCUAUAUUCUGAGGAACUGAAUAGAGGUCAGCAAACCUUUCUCCAUUUCCUAAUUUGAGAAGGAGAAUAAAAAGCUUUCUCUUGUUUCCCUUUUCUAUGGUUAGUCUGUGAGAUCCCCAGCAUAGAAAAAGGGGAAUACAAAUAAUUCAUCAUAAAUGGUAAGUAUUCUGUGUUUUAUGUUGUACCCUUUGCAUGAUAGAUAGCAAAGGGCUGAUAGCAUGAGAUGAUGAAGGGAUAAUUCUGCUUGAAUCAGCCAGAUGAGGCAGAUGAAGUAAGGUUCCUUUGAUUUUUAAAAAGCAUAUUAUUAGUUUUCACAUUCAUAUUCUACACAACAGAGCUGAAUUUCCACUAACAUAGAUGUAUCACGACUAAUGAACUUUUCUUUGUUUUUUUUUAUAAGACCAUAGAACUAGAAUUUUAGACUCAGAUGGGUCUUGGAGGACAUCAAAUCCAACCCCUCUCAUUUUACAGAAACUGAGGCUGAGGAUACACGGGUGCGAGCAGGAGGGAAGAGUCAAGAUGGCCACUUAGAAGCUGCAAAAGUUGAGUACUCUGUAAAAAACCCUUCCACACCAAUCAAAAACAAAGUGCUUCCAGGGGACAGAAAACCAAAUCUAACAACAGGACAGAACUGAGAGACCCUCCUGCUUGAUUCAACUCAAAAGGUACCCAGAGAAGGCUGAAUUCUCAGGUUUAAGGAAAAGGAAGAAGGAAGGUCCCAGGACCCCUUCCCCAACUACUGUGCUGAGACUCUAGAGUUUGCUAGGAUCUUGGGACCAGAGCUCCAGCCUGCAGGGAGUGCCUUACUACCACAGCUGUGCCAGGCUCAGGGCUCUGACCACAGCCAACAGGGAGGCAGCUGUAGGAGAGGUAUGGAGAGGAAGUCAACCUAAUUUCAGCCACCACUCUCCAUCUUGAGCCUCUGUUUCUUGAGGUUUUUGCCUCAGGACACAUCUAGCUCCUCAGAUCAUAACUACCCCACUCAAUCUAGUCUAUCAAUAGGGAAGAUAAGAAACCUUCAGAGAUCAAGGAAGCUCAAUCUCUAACUCCCCUCCCU